GUGAGUCAUCGAGUCUUUGAACGCACCUUGCGCUCCUUGGUAUUCCGAGGAGCAUGCCUGUUUGAGUGUCAUGGUAUUCAUCAACUUCCUCUCCUUUGCGGGAGAGGAGGCUUGGACUUGGGGGGCGUGCCGGCCUCGGUCGGCUCCUCUGGAAUGCAUUAGUCGGUGACUUUUGGACGACGCGGUUCGCGGUGUAAUACUCUUGUUCACCUCGGUCAAUCCGCCCAGUCCAGUGUUUCCGGCUUCGAACCGUCCGCGAGGACAACCUUUGACAAUCUGACCUCAAAUCAGGUAGGACUACCCGCUGAACUUAAGCAUAUCAAUAAGCGGAGG
rnacentral:rRNA from 1 species